GCGCCCAUAGCUCAACUGGACAGAGCGACGGACUACGGAUCCGUAGGUUGGGGGUUCGAAUCCUCCUGGGCGUGCCA
rnacentral:tRNA from 3 species